AAUUAAUAUUUUAAAACGUGUAAAUUUAAGAGAAUUGCUAGUAUGAGAAUGACCUUAGAUAUACAUAAUAUAAAUAUAUUCUAAACUUAAUUUUUCUCUCUUUUCCUUUUCUUUUAAUUGGAUUAAAAAUACUCAAACCCUUCCCUUCCCUCUCACUUCGAUUGAACCCAAAAAUCAGCCAAACCACACUCCUCAAUUGAACACAUCAAAAUCCAAGAACACCUUCUUCCUUAUUGCCCAACAAAUACUUCAAUGAACAAUCCUAUACUCCCUCUGAUAUUCGCACCCGUUUUCCUCAAAUUCUCUGAGACUUCAAAUAGAACACAACUUUUCAUUCCAUUUCUUCAUCCUUCGUGUUCCCUAGUUUCGGUUGGGCAACAAUGUUCAUUGUAUUGCUUGAUGUUCAUGACAAAACAGCCCCUGAACCGUCUUCUUUGUUUUCGAAUUGAACAACCUACUUCAUCAGAUUAUCAAAGAUAAUAAACCAAAACAACAGCAGGAACAAAAAUGGCGUACAAACAACAAAGCUCCCUCAGUUUCUAUGAUUUACUUGGUUCAACAUCAACAAUUUCUUUCUUUUCGAUUUUGUCUAUAAUGUCGCAUGAAAAUUGAAGAUAGAAGGAAACGAUUUCUCUGCGCGCUCUUUCUAGCUGAUAGCUGCGAAUCGAACCUGACUCUUUGAAGCGUCCUCUUAGGUGAGAAGUAGCAGUCCCUUAAAGGGUCUGAUCAGACUGCAUUCUUGAAAAUAAACUUUACUAAAGCUCUUUUGAGAUUGGAAAUUGUUGAGACAAAUUUUGUUGUGAAUGCUUAUGCUGAUAUUAUGAUAUGGUCAAUGGAUCGAGCUUGCGAGCUGGCCAUUGACGGAGUUGAGGAACAUUGUUCCCUGCUCCCUGUUUGAAGCGAAUUGUCAUUGAGAUAUUGACUAGCUUCACCCGAAAGUGACAUAGCCUUAGAGCUAUGGAUGUUCCUCUCAACUAGACUCCCUAUGCGCACAUAGAUCUAGGGAACUGAUGUUGCUUUUAAACUCUUAUUUGGAAACUAUUGUGUUUGUUGAUUUGGAUUGUUACUUCUCAUUCAGUAUAAGCUGACCCUCUAUUGUUUCCAUCUUUUAGUUUGAUUACAGAUCGGAACCGGUCGGGAACGAUGGGUUAGCGGUGAUUGAAUAGAGUUUUCAAGGAUGUAUAUUGAGCUGAGCACGUAGGAAUUUGUAGAUUUGUAUUAGGAUUUUGGAUAAAUGUAUAUUUGUUUUGGUUGUGCUGGUUAUAUCGGACUUGUAGAAGAGUUGUAUGAUUAUCUUUUGUAUUAGUUAGAUGUUGGUUUUGGGAUUUAGCUGAGUUAGUCACGUUGAAGAGCUUGUGACCUCUUUGCUUGAGUUUUGGAAGUGUGAUUUCAGUUUCUUGGGAUACGAACCCAAUGAUGACCCUGUUUACCCAGUCAACAGUAAGCCGGGUUGUUACAAUUACUAUUUAUCGAGAACUUAAUUGCUUUUUGUAUCUUUAUUGAUGACUUGAUGAUGAUGUAUUUUUUCCAUUUUUAGCAAACAAUAUUUCUUAUCAGAUGUAAUAUUUCCUUUUGUUUUAAACAGUUUCAGUUUUUAUGAUUUAAAGUUUUUAACAGUUCGGCAAUUUGAGACUUCCACAAUAUUCUUGUAUUAAACAUUAUUAUUAAAUGUUAAUUAUGUAUCGAGAUUGUCGCUCCUAUUACAUCAAGCCUUCUCCAAUUUGGAUUGGGCCUUUUGUAUUGAUACUAAACUCUCCAUCACAGGGUAUGUUCUUAUGAUUGGUCAAUCUCGUGUUUCUUGGAAGUCCAAGAAGCAAAGCACUGUUUCCAAGUCAUCUUUCGAGGAUGAAUAUCGUGCCCUUUCCUCUGCUGCAUCAGAGAUUACUUGGAUUUUUUGCUUGCUGGAUGACCUGGACCUGACUCAUUUAUAGCCGGUUACUCUAUUUUGUGAUAAUCAGUUAGCUAUACAUCUUGCUCACAAUCCUAUACAGCAUGAGCGUACCAAACACGUAGCCACAGAUUGCCAUUUUACUCGUGAAAAGGUUCUUGAAGGCCUCCUACACCUCGCUUACAUUCCUACUAAUGAACAGCUUGCUGAUCUCUUCACUAAGUCUUUGCCUUCUACUCAACUCCUUCCAUUAUAGUCCAAACUUCGUGUUUAUCGCAUCCCAAGUUUGAGGGGGGAUGUUAAUAAUAUACAAGCUAAGGUGCACCAUAGAAUAUGCUGUUGUCAUGCACUUGAUCCGUGCUCUCCUUAAGUUUCUGAUUUUUACUCUUGUGCCACAUGCAAGGCUAACAACUUUCUGUUAUGACUCCUUGUGCAGCUUCCUUUUUUGUAUGAAUAUUGUUUUUUAGUCUUGUUAUAUAGAUAACAUGGCAAUGUAAUGCAUUUCAAUCUGUAUGAAUAAUUUGAAAUCCAAUCUUUAUUCCAAACUUUAUCAACUAUGAAAUCCAGGUUGUAAUUCCAUUGAGAAAGAUUGAUAGAGCAAUCCAAAAAAUGAGAACUCUAACAAGAAGUAGAAGAAAUACCUACAAUUGAUAACGAAGGAUGAGUUUGAGUUUUGGUUCAUGGGUUUCAUCAACUGCUAGAUAUCUGAUCUUUUACAUAUAUUC